CAGCAGUCGCCACGGUAAUACGGAGGGUGCAAGCGUUAUCCGGAUUUAUUGGGUUUAAAGGGUCCGUAGGCGGAUCUGUAAGUCAGUGGUGAAAUCUCACAGCUUAACUGUGAAACUGCCAUUGAUACUGCAGGUCUUGAGUAAAUUUGAAGUGGCUGGAAUAAGUAGUGUAGCGGUGAAAUGCAUAGAUAUUACUUAGAACACCAAUUGCGAAGGCAGGUCACUAAGAUUUAACUGACGCUGAUGGACGAAAGCGUGGGGAGCGAACAGGAUUAGAUACCCGUGUAGUCCCUGUCUCUUAUAC
rnacentral:rRNA from 1 species